AUUGAUUUGGCAGAUUAGUGUAUUAAAUUUAGAAUUUAACAAAGUAAUAUUUUACAUUCAAUA
rnacentral:tRNA from 1 species